UGGGGAAUCUUGGACAAUGGGCGCAAGCCUGAUCCAGCCAUGCCGCGUGGAUGAUGAAGGCCUUAGGGUUGUAAAAUCCUUUCGCCGAGGACGAUAAUGACGGUACUCGGAGAAGAAGCUCCGGCUAACUUCGUGCCAGCAGCCGCGGUAAUACGGAGGGGGCUAGCGUUGUUCGGAUUUACUGGGCGUAAAGGGCGCGUAGGCGAUGUGUCAAGUCAGUUGUGAAAUCUCCGAGCUUAACUCGGAACGGUCAACUGAUACUGUCACACUAGAGUACAGAAGGGGCAAUCGGAAUUCUUGGUGUAGCGGUGAAAUGCGUAGAUAUCAAGAGGAACACCUGAGGCGAAGGCGGGUUGCUGGGCUGAUACUGACGCUGAGGCGCGAAAGCUAGGGUAGCAAACGGGAUUAGAUACCCUAGUAGUCCCUGAGCGGGCUGGCAAGGCGCAU
rnacentral:rRNA from 1 species